CUAUACUGAAAACCACAGCGCUCCAGGCAUAAAACACAGCAGGGCUCCAUAUGAGCUAGGAAUGGCCUUUCUGUAUGCCUAAUGAGAUGUUCUCACCUGUGCUCUAGCAGGAUAAUGCAACAUAAGCGACUGGGGAAUUACGGAAAAAUAAUCAAUAACACAAAUAAAUGUUUGCUGCUCGGUACACACAUGCACACACUGCCGACCAGAAGCAUGACCCUGAGAUAUGAAGAAUGCGAACACUUGUAGGGAAAAGGAUUACUGAUGAGGAGCUAUUCAUUGUGUAUAAUUGAGACUCUUUCCCAUUCAAGAGACAUGAGAGUAGAGGCCCAACAUGUGCCUUUAGGCUGAGCAGAGGAGAAGCCACGGUGCACACAUGGACAGGGGAAGAUAAGAGACUAUGUACACAAGCUGCUGGUUUUAUUGCUGCAACAUAACGCUCGGAUAGCAUUUUAAACACAUUUUCAGAAAACCUGCCAGCGCCGUCCUCGCUGCCGUGGAACCGUGCCACGCUGCUGAAAUGUGUCAUUGGGCUCAAUUUCUCACCUAAUUUCAACCGAACGGAAAAUGGCACUUUGGUGACAGCAAUGAGGCUGACCAGGAGGAGAUGUGAGUGGCAAAUGCCGUAAAAGACAAAUCUCCACGGUGCACUCGGUGGCACGUCGCCGAACGAAGGCACGGCUGAUAUGAUAGCUAUCAUCAUUUCCGUAUCUAUGAUCCUCAAACAAGGCCCUCUCCCCCUCCACACGUCACAUAGCCUCGGGUCCAAUGGCGCACUGUGCCGUCACACGUGAUAAUGACACCCACAUCAACGUGUCAACUCAAUUUGGCCCUCUUAUAGGCUCUCUUUGACUCAAUCAAUGCAUGGCCUUCCAUCUGGGUUCCACUCCUGUCCUCACAUUAGAGGAGUGGGGACGGACAGACAUUUUACUAACGGCUCACUAUACCUGCCCCCACUCUCCACCCUUGGACAUCUGCAGUUUAACAUCACAUAUUACAUAUUUUCUUUAAACUAAUAAUCCAACAACUUUCUCAGACCGUGCAGCAAAGUCAAAAGCACCCUGUCAAGUAGGCUACAAAGGCUUCAAACACAAAUCAAAAACCAAGUCAUGCCGGGUCAAUAACUGUGAGCUGAACAGAUCAUUAACUGUGGCGAUAAAUUUGCCAAGUUUUUCUUCUUCUUCUUCUUUUUUUUUAAUUUGAAAAUCCCAUCUUACAAGGCAUUCCAAUAAAUAUCAGGCAGGCACAUUUCUAGCUCGUUAAAAUUUAAUCCAAUUAAAUCCCUAUUUAAAACAAAGUUACACCUCCACAACAACCAAGCACAGAGGCUGUUAUCUUGGACUGCAGCUCAUUAUUUCUCAGAGAGGCUCGUCUGGCUGACAGUGUGGUAGACUGGGACAUCCAGUAAACAUCUGUCAUGAAGCAUCCUUACAGGGGAGCACAGACACAGUAAGCUACUGAUCCAGUGACCCGACAGUGCAGGCAUUCACACAUGCCUUGGUGCACCUGCGUGUGAGCCUCUGCUAUCGUCAUGUUUAGGCCAAUUUUAAGGAUUUGUGCUUAUAAACCGUUUAUGAAUCAUUUAUUCGCCAUCACAGUGGAGGGGCCUAGAGAGAUGAUGUGUUAUCCCAUUAGGUUUCAAUAGCUCAUUCAUGAAUCAUUCAUCAGUUUGGACUAUAGAUUAUUCCCCCUUUAUUCAUUUCUUAUUCAUUUUGGGCCAGUAUACUGCUCGGGAUGCAUUACGUUGCUUCAAAAUGACGUCCACAGGCCAGCGUUUGCCUUCAAAACAUGCAAACAGUGCAAGGGAGAAGGUAAUCGAUGGAGCAGAGACGAAUGAAUGUAGGCUACGACAGCUGUCCCAAGGAGGCCAAGGCGUACAACAUGCUUCAGGCUGAAGGCGGGUGAUUGCACAGGGUGGAAGGUGUAGGAGGAUGACUGCCGAACCCUAUGCAAGUUGUCAGCGUGCUAAAUAGGUUAGGCGACCCACAGUACUGCUGACUCUAGCCUUGGACUGUGGGCUCUGCCAGUUUUACAGGUGGGACAAAGGACUCACCCUUCCCUGCUUUAACUUUAUAUACAGUUGUAUACUGCAGACAGAUCUCUUGGAUCUUUGAUUGUAGUGUUUGCCUAAUAAACCAGAAUAAAAUUCUCCCUGGAGGUGGUCUUUUUGCUCAUAGCAGUGACUGUCGGUCAUAUCUAGAAUCUGUGUAUUACACAUCCGGCUCUCUAAAAUUAGAGUUUGCUGUUGCUAAUGACAAAGACUUCCAUCAGAUGUACACAACAAGGAAAGGCAGCAAAAAGCAAAUGUUCAACAUUUUUGCACAAUGGACUGAAACAUGAAGUGUCAGCUGUCAGUUUGUAAAACAGUUAGUCAUUAAAUUAAUUGGUUGGUAUAAUAAUGACAAUUAUGGUUUCAUACUGUUUAAUGAAUAACAAAUACUAAACACUUCUUCUUUCAGCCCCUGAAAUAUGAUGAUUUGAUGAUAGUCUGAAAAAUAAAGGGUCUGAUUUCGAGAACUUCUGGUGGAUAUUUUUAUUUGUUUUCUAAUAUUUUACAAACAAAACUUCUCUCCUGAUUGAUUCAUUUUUCACU